rnacentral:rRNA from 1 species
GACGAACGCUGGCGGCGUGCCUAAUACAUGCAAGUAGAACGCUGAAGGAGGAGCUUGCUCUUCUGGAUGAGUUGCGAACGGGUGAGUAACGCGUAGGUAACCUGCCUGGUAGCGGGGGAUAACUAUUGGAAACGAUAGCUAAUACCGCAUAAGAGUAGAUGUCGCAUGACAUUUGCUUAAAAGGUGCAAUUGCAUCACUACCAGAUGGACCUGCGUUGUAUUAGCUAGUUGGUGAGGUAACGGCUCACCAAGGCAACGAUACAUAGCCGACCUGAGAGGGUGAUCGGCCACACUGGGACUGAGACACGGCCCAGUCUCCUACGGGAGGCAGCAGUAGGGAAUCUUCGGCAAUGGACGGAAGUCUGACCGAGCAACGCCGCGUGAGUGAAGAAGGUUUUCGGAUCGUAAAGCUCUGUUGUAAGAGAAGAACGAGUGUGAGAGUGGAAAGUUCACACUGAGAC